GAUGAACGCUAGCGGCAGGCCUAAUACAUGCAAGUCGAGGGGUAGAGCUAGCUUGCUAGCUUGAGACCGGCGCACGGGUGCGUAACGCGUAUGCAACCUACCCUUUUCUGGGGGAUAGCCCGGAGAAAUCCGGAUUAAUACCGCAUAAGACCACGAUACGGCAUCGUGAUGUGGUCAAACAUUUAUGGGAGAAGGAUGGGCAUGCGUGCCAUUAGCUAGUUGGCGGGGUAACGGCCCACCAAGGCGACGAUGGCUAGGGGAUCUGAGAGGAUGGCCCCCCACACUGGUACUGAGACACGGACCAGACUCCUACGGGAGGCAGCAGUAAGGAAUAUUGGUCAAUGGGGGCAACCCUGAACCAGCCAUGCCGCGUGCAGGACGACGGCCCUCCGGGUUGUAAACUGCUUUUGUACGGGAAUAAACCCCGCUACGUGUAGCGGGCUGAAUGUACCGUAAGAAUAAGGAUCGGCUAACUCCGUGCCAGCAGCCGCCGUAA
rnacentral:rRNA from 1 species